UCAAUUUGCGUCGCCUCAUUUGCGUCGCACAAACACGGAAACGACGCAAAAAUACUAUUUGCGUCGCAUGCAACAAUGAAUCGACGCACAAGACGAACGAUGUGCGUCGUAUGUAACUAACGUGCGAUGCAAAUCAUCUAUGUGCGUCGCACUAUGGGCUUCAUGCGACGCACAUAACAAAGUCAUCUGCGUCGGACCCCUUGGCCCAUCCGACGCAAAUCAGCCCAAAAGCCCCAACUUGCGCGACUCUUAAAGACUUCUCUCACCAGUUCAGGGCCUCAUUCUCUCAAGCCCUAAAUUUCUAUCUUUAUGCCGCGUCUCUCUCCUCACACUAGAAAGACGGCCUUAUUCUCUCAAACCCUAACUUCUCUCUCACCUUCCUUCAUCUCUCUCUCUCACCUACCGUAAUCUCUCUCUCUCACCCACCUUACCUUCAUCGAUCUCUCUCACCUACCUUCAUCUCAACAACGAAAUCAUUCAUCUUCGUAUUUUCGUGUUUUCGGAUCUCCGGCAAGUCGACGAGUUCUUCAAACGACGAGCAAGAACUUAAACGACGGUCUUCUUGUUCCUCUCUCUCAAUUCCAGAACUUGUUCCUCAAAACUCAAUCAACUUAAAUAUAUGGCGACGAAAUUCUCUGAAGAUGAACGUUUCAUCGAUCAAAUCCCUCGAAACCUACACUUCUUCCUCUCCUGAAAUCCGCAAACGUUUCAUUCGUUUACAUCUUCUUCAUCGUUUCAUUCGCUUACAGAUCUGCCAAAUGCAAUCGAACUCAAACGCAAUCGAAGAUCUGAAAUUUUCAGUAAGAGGAUGGUAUCUUCUCGAAAUCUUGUUGUUGCGUUUGUGGUGAAGAUCUUGAUUGCUAUGAAAUUACAAGAAAUUCUCGAAGAUCUGGAUUGUGUUUGAGUUUUUUCAUUUUAUUUUUAAUUUUAUCUCCUGUUAUAUAAAAACGCGGUUAUAGAUAAUUUUUUAGUUUGUAAUUUUAUCUUUUGGUUAGGGUUAGAAUUUCUUAUUUUUUUGUAUGUUUUAGUUAUAAAUCUGAUGUUAGUGAUAAUGGUGAAAUUUUUUUCUUCUUGAAAUUAUGUAAAACCGCGCACUGUUGAUGUUAGUCCAUUGCCUUUGUAGUUUGUAAUUUUAUCUUCUCCAUUUUUGUAUGUUCUUCAUUUCCUUUUCAAUUACUGAUUCGUUAUUGCUGAUU